AUGAAGAGAUCCGAACCAGUGAAUCUUGAAAUCUGUUAUAUAUGGAUGGUAGAGAUGAACUCGGUUAAAAGGUUUGUAUUGGAGACGCUUUACGAGAUAUAUAUCCAAGUUACUAAGGAACAUAAAAAGAGUGGGGAGACAACCCUUGCGGAAAUUGAAGUUACACUAAGUAAUGCUGCAUACAGACUGAAUAUCAGGCCCUUGCUAAGGCUGGCUUGCAACCCCGUUUUUUGGUUCAACUUCAAGUUUCAAUGA